GCCCCGUUCGUCUAGCGGCCCAGGACGUAGCCCUCUCAAGGCUAAAACAGGGGUUCGAUUCCCCUACGGGGCAC
rnacentral:tRNA from 1 species